UCCCCUAAAGACUGUGUAACUCAACAUGCAUUAUAUCUCGUGUAUAGAAGAAAACAUGAGCCACAAUAUAGUUACAAUAAAGCCUUUUUCCCAAUCUUAAACACUCUCGCAGUGAUGUUACUCUGAAACAGUAGAGCUAAGUAAGUGUGUAUGGAAGAAGGUCAAAAAGAAGAAAUAUAGUAACAAUGAGCAUCAUUAGUCACUCAGGCAGUCUGAGACGGUUGAAAACGACCAUGAAGCUCUUCUCAGGACCAAUAUAUAGAAAUCCAAGAUCCCCACCCGUCACAUAUGGUCCCAUUCCCUGUCAGCCAAACCCCAAAACCAUCAACUUGUAACACAAAUAACUAAUGGGGUUUAGCUCUACUGUGUAUUUACCUUUCCGUUGAGUUUUAAAAGCUGCCCUCCGACCCAUCUUGGGUUUUUAAACCCAAAGUCUGCUAUUCUUCCUUCUCCCAUGUAACUCGCAAGCUGUGUAUACACGUAAACAUCUCUCUAGAUAAGCUUUCGAUUCAAAUGUCAACAUGGUUAAACCAUAGUGUGUCUUAAGCUAUUGUUUAAAUAGGAAAAAGUCUGAGACUCUUGCUCUGGUUACAUGUUUGACUUAUGCAUGGUUUGAGCAGUGAGCACACAUUUGUUUUGGGUCAGUUUCUGUAGUUUUCCUAAAACUGUAGCUCAAGAGAUGAGUAAAGUGUCAUUACCACUCCCAUUUCCUCUGGGUACAUUCCUCGAUCCCUCAUGCGACUCCCCUUCCCAAUCCUUGCACGAAAUGUCACCUACCAAGAAAUUUUUUUUUUUUUUGCGAGACUGUUAUCAAUCUUUGUUUCAACUUUUUCGGUGGGAUGUCCAAAGAGGGAAUAGAUAGAGAGAGAAUAUAUAUAUGAUUCUGUUCCUUGCUCCUCUCUAAUGCCGCCAUGCUCUUCGAUAUUGCGCAGUCAUUUCGUUCUCACCGGUACAUUAAAAAAACUGUUAUCUUUUACUUCAAAUUCAGUUUACAAGUUCACCUAAAUUGUAGGAGAAAAAGAACAUGUCAAAUACAUACACGAACACCUCAUCAAAAGAUUAUUAUUUACAGCAGUAUUCAAAAAUGCAAAUAUUGUUCCUUUUCAAUCGAUUGGCACCACAAACUUUAGAAAACUCUCAUGAGUUGUACAGAUUGGAUCGAGUCUAUUUUCGGUUUCAUUAAGCUCCCCUAAAGACUGUGUAACUCAACAUGCAUUAUAUCUCGUGUAUAGAAGAAAACAUGAGCCACAAUAUAGUUACAAUAAAGCCUUUUUCCCAAUCUUAAACACUCUCGCAGUGAUGUUACUCUGAAACAGUAGAGCUAAGUAAGUGUGUAUGGAAGAAGGUCAAAAAGAAGAAAUAUAGUAACAAUGAGCAUCAUUAGUCACUCAGGCAGUCUGAGACGGUUGAAAACGACCAUGAAGCUCUUCUCAGGACCAAUAUAUAGAAAUCCAAGAUCCCCACCCGUCACAUAUGGUCCCAUUCCCUGUCAGCCAAACCCCAAAACCAUCAACUUGUAACACAAAUAACUAAUGGG
rnacentral:lncRNA from 1 species